UCAGUCCAAGCACCUCUGUCCUCAAUCUCCGUCCCGGAGCUCUCUCCCCCGUCCAGCAGUCGAUGCCCACCUCGCGCGACCACGCAUCAUCGCCGGCCGCCGUCCCUACCGCAUCUCCCUGAGCUAGCAGCCUCCUUCCUCUGGCCCAAGUUGCUCACAGCCUCCUUCCUCUGGCACACGAACGCACGCACGCUGGCCCAAGCACCCAGGCUGUGCGUAGCCGGGAGGAAGCAGGACGCGGCCGGCCAAGGUCGGCGGCUGGAGCGUGCCGGCCCAGCCAUGGCGUCCAGCGACCGAGAUGGCCGCUGGCGGUCAGUGAUCUGACCAGAUCCGAGCUCGCCGGACUGGCGGCGGCGCGCUGAAGGCUGGGGCACACCAGGUGUUCGAUCAAAUGCGUGCCCUUGGAGAUGCGCUAACCAAUCUUGUUUUUAGCCAUGGCUCCGUCAGCAUCGAGUAUGGUGACGGCGGCGCUUCCCGAGGAAAAUCAAAAUAUAUAUGCUAUGUUUCUUAGGUACCUGUAUAUAUAUAUAUAUAUAUGCAAUUGUGCAUCGGUGGCUUGCUGCACGGCGAAGAGAUGGCAGAUACAAUAGCUGCUGUGGAGUACUUACUGAGGUAGCCUUUGGGGAUCAGACGCCUCUCCGGGUCUGGCGGAUGUGGCCGUUCAAGCACCCUACUGUAUACCGGCCGGCUGCGCCGAACCAGCCGGUGGCUAUUGCUCCGUCUCUGGGCUCUGGGUACCAUUCCGGACUGGCCUGCCGGUCCAGUUGUCCCUGAUCCGAACUGCUCUGGGGAGGCACCUCUCAGUGCAUCCCGGGUGAGUGGAAGCGCAGGCGGCGCCAUCCAGUUUACCCAAUGAAGUGUUGUCAUUGCAAACCUUGUACCUCCACUCGAGGCGGCAAUCAGGGGUUUUCCUCGAGGAGCAAAUUCUGCAAUCUGUACUCAUGGGAGAAUGUUUUCGGUAUCAGGAAAGUGUCACCAAAACGUCCCAGGGAUUGCUUGCAGUUGUGCAGGCAAGCCGGACAGCGAGAACAAGUUCAUCCGCUAGAACAAAGUGCCCUGCGAUGCUAAGCCUGUUAAGGACGGAAGAUGGAGGCUGGUAUGGUAUUUAUGUGCGCACAGGGUGUUGCAUAACCAUGAACUCCUCGGAACUUGUAGUCCACGUGGGGUUCCUAAUCUUGAAGUCAGAAGUGCCUUCACGACCGGAGCAAGCGCCACCUGGACCAGACUGGCAUUUCACUUGAGAUGGUGUUGUGAUGACCUCCUGAAGUAUGGUGAGUAUUGAAUAUCCUUUCUCCAUCUUUUUUUUCUUGUAGAA